GCGCUCUCCCCCUGCCGGGAAUCCUGCCAUCGCCGCAGAGGAGGCGCUGCUGAAGGCGCCGCUUGUGGUGCGGAAGCCUGUAAGGGCCGCUCUAGCAUCGUGGGAACCGCCCCGGUCCGUGCUCCCUUCGCUCUUCUCGCCUAGACCUUGGAGCCGCCUCCCGAAGACCUUCCCCCGGACCUCCCCGCUUUGGUUCCUCCCUGCGGGCCCCCCUUCCCGGGCUUCCCGCUCCCCUCCCAGAGCCGCUCCCUCCGGAGCCCGAGUGACCCCUCUCCUCCCAGGCCCCUCCGGGCUCGGUGUCGGGGCAGUCACAGGGAUGAGAACCUCCUUCCUGCCCCUUUAUCGCUCCCUCUCCAGGUGAGGCUCCGAGGAGGAGAAAUGGCCGCCAGGCUCCAUCCCCCCUGACUCUUCCUCGGGCCUCGGGGUCAGAAAAGCGGCUGGAUCCGGGAGGACCCUGGCGGCCCAAGUGACAAAGGCCGCUUUUCUUCCUGCGCUGGAAUCACGUCAUGUUGUUAAACCGCAUUUGGGGGCAAUUGUUCCAAUUCAUGGUUGGGACAGGAGGUCUGAAAUCAAACAGACAAUUCCAGACAGUUGGAAGAUAGACCUCAUUUGACAUCAGAUUAUCCAUACUGUGAAAGAUCUUAAGAACGUAAUGACUAUGGGAAGACUUUCUGCCUGACUACAGCUCUUAUCUAAGGGAUGUGUCGAGGGUUAGGAUUGACUACCUAUCAAUUACAACCAUUAAAUGACACUUUAAGGAGAGACACUGUUUUAAACUCACCACGCCAGCUUACAAAAAAAGCUCACAAGUCUUUCAGAGAACUUGAACUGACUUUAUCCAAUGUGGUUGAAUGUCAUUCAAAAACCCUUGGAAAUAUCAGUUUUUGCUACACAAGAGGCACCCACAGCAGUCCUUCAUCAAGCAGACAGUGUGUGAUAGAGUGGGUGAACCUCCCAACACAACCAGAACAAACUCUUAAUCUUUACCCAGUGCCUAUGGCUAGAAUUUUAUUAAAAGCCAUUGAGCGAGCAGUACAGUUAACUGGGAUAAGAUAUACACCUUUAUACUAAUGCACAAAUUAAUGUAUGCUGUGAAACCAUCCCAGAGUGGCAAAUUUUAUUAGCUAUGGCUCCAAAUUUUACACACGGGACUCCAUUAAAGAGAACCAGACUAUUACAUAAUUGACAGUGGAUUCUUGAAGAAAAGGUUUUUAAAGGUCCUCUUAAAGGACCAACUCUCUUUACAGAUGCAUCCAAACGGAAUAUUUGUGCUGUAUACUUUUGUGACUUAAAUGUAAAGAGAGUAUUCAGAAUUCCUUUUCAGUCCACUCAGCAGAAUGAAUUGUAUGCGAUCAUUCUAGCUCUUACUUAUUAUCCAGGAGGGAUAAUAGACUAUCUGAUUUAGCCUGUUCAGUAGGUGUGGUACAAAAAAUUGCCAUAGCCCACAUAAAAUUUGUAACCUCUAAUAUAUAUCAGCUCUUUUAGGAACUUCAAGAGCAAGUGAGAAAGCAUCCAGGUAAGAUUGAUAUCUUGCAGGUCCACUCACACAGUGGACAGGCAACCCUAGAGAACUUGUAAAUCUAGCUCUUUAUACUACUUCUUGAUGUUUGACAAGGUGCAUUGGCUCUGGCAGGCAGGUUUUAUAACCCACCGGAAGGGCAGUGUCCAGUGCGAGCCUCUCCAUUAUCUUUAAUCGCCAGGUGAUGUGGAGAGGCUCAGAAAGUGGUGAAUGGAAGGGACCCAAUAUGUUAACUGCUUUGGGGAGAGGGUUUGCUGUUAUCUCCACAAAUGGAGAAGGAAUCAGAUGGGUGCCAAUGAGCCGUAUUCACCUUGUCCAUCAGAGAGAGAUGAAGCACACCUUGAAAGGAAGAAGACCCAAGAAACAAUGGUGGUUCCAUUGCUGACUGUGCUCACCACUGAAUGAGCACGGCAGUUAUGGCGUUUGACUUGUGGACAUCAACAAUUGUAGAACUGCAAAACUCUCAGGAAUCACUGGAUUCUCUGAGAUAUGAAAAGACUGUUGCAAGACUUCAAAAACUUGUGGGAAUCAUUGGAUCCCAUGACAUGUGAAGCAAUGCACAAUAGAUUGAUUUUGGACUAUCUCUUGGCUGCUGAAGAAGGCGUAUGUGUGACUGUUGUUUACAUACCCUUCUUUUAGGACUUGUGGAACUCUUUUACAACACUAUAGUGAUUCAUAUUGUUUGUUAUAUCACUACUUGCAUGUACAAUUGAUGUUUGUUGCACCACAUUGAGCCUGCAGUGGUUGUGCGGAGAGUCAUCACUACUAGCCUGUGCAAUAUUGAUAUGUGCUUGUGUAAUACCUCCCAUGCUGAUGGGUUUGUGCAUACCUGUUUCUAAUAAAACCCUUCAGCCCAGAAA